ACACAUGCAAGUCGAGGGGAAACGGCAUUGAGUGCUUGCACUCUUUGGACGUCGACCGGCGCACGGGUGAGUAACGCGUAUCCAACCUUCCCAUUACUGUGGGAUAACCUGCCGAAAGGCAGACUAAUACCGCAUAGUCUUCGAUGACGGCAUCAGAUUUGAAGUAAAGAUUUAUCGGUAAUGGAUGGGGAUGCGUCUGAUUAGCUUGUUGGCGGGGUAACGGCCCACCAAGGCUACGAUCAGUAGGGGUUCUGAGAGGAAGGUCCCCCACAUUGGAACUGAGACACGGUCCAAACUCCUACGGGAGGCAGCAGUGAGGAAUAUUGGUCAAUGGACGCAAGUCUGAACCAGCCAAGUAGCGUGCAGGAUGACGGCCCUAUGGGUUGUAAACUGCUUUUAUGUGGGAAUAAAGUGGCGCACGUGUGCGCCAUUGCAUGUACCUCAUGAAUAAGGACCGGCUAAUUCCGUGCCAGCAGCCGCGGUAAUACGGAAGGUCCGGGCGUUAUCCGGAUUUAUUGGGUUUAAAGGGAGUGUAGGCGGUCUGUUAAGCGUGUUGUGAAAUUUAGGUGCUCAACAUUUAACUUGCAGCGCGAACUGUCAGACUUGAGUACACGCAGCGCAGGCGGAAUUCAUGGUGUAGCGGUGAAAUGCUUAGAUAUCAUGAGGAACUCCGAUCGCGAAGGCAGCCUGCGGGAGUGUUACUGACGCUUAAGCUCGAAGGUGCGGGUAUCGAACAGGAUUAGAUACCCUGGUAGUCCGCACUGUAAACGAUGGAUGCCCGCCGUUGGCGCCCUGCGCCUGCGGCCAAGCGAAAGCAUUAAGCAUCC
rnacentral:rRNA from 1 species